UACAGAGGGGGCAAGCGUUGUUCGGAAUUACUGGGCGUAAAGGGCGCGUAGGCGGCCUGCUAAGUCGAACGUGAAAUCCCCGGGCUCAACCCGGGAACUGCGUCCGAGACUGGCGGGCUUGAAUUCGGGAGAGGGAUGCAGAAUUCCAGGUGUAGCGGUGAAAUGCGUAGAUAUCUGGAGGAACACCGGUGGCGAAGGCGGCAUCCUGGACCGAUAUUGACGCUGAUGCGCGAAAGCCAGGGGAGCAAACGGG
rnacentral:rRNA from 1 species